UGAAAUUAAACGUAAUAGAAGCAUCUAGCGUACGCAAAAACAGUUUUGCAUGAGGACUCCUUGGACUAUUGAAAACACGAAUGAUUCCAAGACGAGGAAUCUGAUUCCGAAAGGGAAGAGGUUUGCAAGAAGAUUGAAAGUGUUUUGUGCAAACUUUUUUUAAUACAGAUGGAAUAGAAUACUCUAAGAAAUGCUAUUGACGAGGGAUAGUGCAAGGAUCAACAAAGUGUUUUCUUUAAAAAGUCAACUAAUGUCAUGGAAAAAGAUGUUGGGACUUAGGAUGAAUUGAAAAGCUUGUUUUGAACUUCUAAGAUCCUUUUCAUUGAAUUACAGUGUCAUAAAUAAAGUUAUCCUUCUUGGAAUAUGUAUUUGUCA